CACGUAGGGCGCAAGCGUUGUCCGGAAUUAUUGGGCGUAAAGAGCUCGUAGGCGGUUUAGAAAGUCGGGUGUGAAACCUCCAGGCUCAACCUGGAGACGCCACUCGAUACUUCUAUGACUUGAGUUCGGUAGGGGAUCACGGAAUUCCUGGUGUAGCGGUGAAAUGCGCAGAUAUCAGGAGGAACACCGACGGCGAAGGCAGUGAUCUGGGCCGAUACUGACGCUGAGGAGCGAAAGCGUGGGGAGCGAACAGG
rnacentral:rRNA from 1 species